GGCACAAUAACUAUUACAGCACUCUUUUGUGGUUAUGGUGCGCUCCCAUGGUAAGUAGUCGGAGUGCUUAAGAACAGUUUGACAACUUACCUGGGAUCCGUCAGGAUAGGGGAUGUACUAUGGGAUAGGGGCAGUAGUAAGUGUGUGAAGGGUGUAAUCUGUGAAGGAUGUAGUGUAUGUGUGAGAGGCAUAGUUUGUGUGUAUG